AUACGGAGGGUCCAAGCGUUGUUCGGAAUUAUUGGGCGUAAAGCGGGUGUAGGCGGUCGAUUAAGUCGGAUGUGAAAUCCCUGGGCUCAACCCAGGAACUGCAUUCGAAACUGGUCGACUAGAGUCUCGGAGAGGGUGGCGGAAUUCCCGGUGUAGAGGUGAAAUUCGUAGAUAUCGGGAGGAACACCAGUGGCGAAGGCGGCCACCUGGACGAUGACUGACGCUCCUGCCCGAAAGCGUGGGGAGCAAACAGGAGUAGAAACCCCGGUAGUCC
rnacentral:rRNA from 1 species